GUGGUAGUAGCAAAUAUUCAAAUGAGAACUUUGAAGAGUGAAGUGGGGAAAUGUUCCAUGUGAACAUCACUUGGACAUGGUCGGUUAGUCAAUCCUAAGAGAUGGGGAUUCCUUAUAUCAAGGGUGUACUCUGCAUGAACAUCAAAAGACAAUUGGGUUAAUAUUCCUGAACCGGGACAUGGUGGUGGAUGACAAUGUUAGGAAAUCUAGAGAUGUCAUCGGGGGCCUGGGAAGAGUUAUCUUUUAUUUUUAAUGACUUUCCCACCCUGAUCUUCCCUAGAUACAGAUGAUGCUUGAUCAACUUGGUCUUCCUCCACAAAAUCAUUCCACCUUUGUGACAAUCAAAGUACCAUUGAGCUUAUUCAUUAUCCAAUGAAUCAUCAGAAGAUAAAACACAUGGAUAUUUGGAUGCACUAAAUUUGGCAACCUCAUGCUCAAGGACAGCUUGUGCAAAUCUUUGUUCCUUUAUUAGAUCAACAAGUAGAUAUCUGUUGGCGGGUGGAAAUGACCGUCCUUCAUCUAGAAGAACGAGUCUAGUCCGAGUUUGUCUAAAUAACCCAAGUUGUUUGGUGUAACUCGUUUCGAUGGGUUUAAUGGCUUCGUUAUCCAAUCUAAAAGUCCUAAAAGAAACAAAUAAAAGAAAG
rnacentral:ncRNA from 1 species